rnacentral:rRNA from 1 species
AUACGGAGGGUGCAAGCGUUAAUCGGAAUUACUGGGCGUAAAGCGCACGCAGGCGGUUUGUUAAGCGAGAUGUGAAAUCCCCGGGCUCAACCUGGGAAUUGCAUUUCGAACUGACAAACUAGAGUACGAGAGAGGGGGGUAGAAUUCCAGGUGUAGCGGUGAAAUGCGUAGAUAUCUGGAGGAAUACCAAUGGCGAAGGCAGCCCCCUGGUUCGAUACUGACGCUGAGGUGCGAAGGCGUGGGGAGCAAACAGGAUUAGAUACCCUGGUAGUCCACGCGGUAAACGAUGUCUACUAGCUGUUUGUGGAUUUAAUCCGUGAGUAGCGAAGCUAACGCGAUAAGUAGACCGCCUGGGGAGUACGGCCGCAAGGUUAAAACUCAAAUGAAUUGACGGGGGCCCGCACAAGCGGUGGAGCAUGUGGUUUAAUUCGAUGCAACGCGAAGAACCUUACCUACUCUUGACAUACUAGAAACUUUUCAGAGAUGAAUUGGUGCCUUCGGGAA